AAAGCAUCCCUGGAGAACAGCCUGGAGGAGACCAAAGGUCGCUACUGCAUGCAGCUGGCCCAGAUCCAGGAGAUGAUUGGCAGCGUGGAGGAGCAGCUGGCCCAGCUCCGCUGCGAGAUGGAGCAGCAGAACCAGGAGUACAAGAUCCUGCUGGACGUGAAGACGCGGCUGGAGCAGGAGAUCGCCACCUACCGCCGCCUGCUGGAGGGCGAGGACGCCCACCUCUCCUCCUCCCAGUUCUCCUCUGGAUCGCAGUCAUCCAGAGAUGGUAAGACCCUCCUCCUCUGCAGGCCUGGGCUCCAGGCCACCCUCUGUACCCCAAGCAGGUCUAGGCAUUGGCUAGGGGCUCCGUGAGGGGCUGAGCUCUAGUGCUGUCACCCAGUUUCCCUUGUGAACCUCCUUGGGUGGAAGAAGCUAUUUUCUAAACCCUCCUUAGGGCUAGGAGAGGCAGCCCCCACCUCUUGCUUCUACGUGGUGUCUGUGGCAGAUCCUAUUGCUGUUGUGGUCAGCACCAUGAACAGGGCCCUACAGGGCUCUUCCCACUGAGACCACUCCAUUGGGUGAAUAUGGAUGGAACCAGCCAGGUGUGAGCUCUUAGGAAGCUCUAAUCUGAGGGCAAAGACUCUGUCUCUGACCUUUGGGAGCCCUCGUCUGAAAGAAAUGUGUUGAUGGUAUCAGUGCUUGGGCAACAGCAGGGAGUGAAGCAGUAAUCAGGGGAGAGGGCAAUGGGGAGCCAGUUUGAGUUUCCUCACCUUCUUGGCCUCCUUACUCCUGAUUAGUCCAUUGUCUGUCCACCUCUGGUAACGUCCUCUUCCCACCUCUUCCCCAGUGACCUCCUCCAGCCGCCAAAUCCGCACCAAGGUCAUGGAUGUGCACGAUGGCAAGGUGGUGUCCACCCACGAGCAGGUCCUUCGCACCAAGAACUGAGGCUGCCCAGCCCCGCUCAGGCCUAGGAGGCCCCCCGUGUGGACACAGAUCCCACUGGAAGAUCCCCUCUCCUGCCCAAGCACUUCACAGCUGGACCCUGCUUCACCCUCACCCCCUCCUGGCAAU
rnacentral:lncRNA from 1 species